GUGAGGGGGUGCGAUACAUUUUUAUCCAAUCGCACGUCUUCUCUUGUUAAGUCCCGCAUCAGGCCUUUACAAGGAAUCACUGCGUUUUCGGUACCUAAGCAACCAUUAGAAAUCAUAUGUUUGGAUUCGGCUUGAUUGAUGGCUACAUCUGACUGAUUAGCCAAUCAAAUCGACCUGUUAUGGCGAGGUAGGCAGGUCUGACUGCAGCUGGAACCGUUCAUCAUGAAUUUUGACGCUGUCUGUUUUACGUGAUGAACUUCGUGAGCAACUUCUGUCAGUCAGACAGACAAACAUUCACUGGAAAAGUACAUGUCACACUGACAUGACUAUGGUUAUAGUUAUGAACAGUAAAUUGACCGUUUUUGUUCAAAAUAUAUAUAUUGAUACGCCUUUAUUAAGCAAAAUAAUAUAGGCUAAUGUAACAUUACAGUGUCAGCUGGACUACAUGUUAGCAAGAUGCACAUCGUCAGCUAGCUCUGCACGUAGCUGGUAACCUAUGCAGGAAUUGCUAAGCAAGCGAAUGCCGUACUCUGCUUCUGAUUGGUUGUAACAACGUCAUCACCGGUGCGACACAGUUUUGAACAACUGUCUGACAAAAAUACACCUUGAUGGCAGAAUGCAAUCCCAGGAGCAAGUACAAACUGAGUUCUUACAAAGAAUACAACAAAGAUUCCUCUUAAUGUUGAGAAAUGAAGCACUAGACCUCGGCUAUCUAUUAGAUGUUGCCCAGCAGGAGCUGUCCUUAGCAGUAGCAGCAUCACAACACC